rnacentral:rRNA from 1 species
UCCCUAUCCGUCGUGGGCGUAGGAAAUUUGAGAGGAGCUGUCCUUAGUACGAGAGGACCGGGAUGGACAUACCUCUGGUGUACCAGUUGUCGUGCCAACGGCAUAGCUGGGUAGCUAUGUGUGGACGGGAUAAGUGCUGAAAGCAUCUAAGCAUGAAGCCCCCCUCAAGAUGAGAUUUCCCAACUUCGGUUAUAAGAUCCCUCAAAGAUGAUGAGGUUAAUAGGUUCGAGGUGGAAGCAUGGUGACAUGUGGAGCUGACGAAUACUAAUCGAUCGAAGACUUAAUCAAAA